CCCUUAGAUGUUCUGGGCUGCACACGUGCUACACUGGCAGGUUCAGCGAGCUUCAUGCCCUGAUCUGAAAGGAAUGGGAAAUCUUUUCAAAACCUGCCGUGCUUGGGAUAGAUGUUUGCAAUUAUUCAUCUUCAACGAGGAUUGCCUUGUAAGCGCACGUCAUCAGCGUGCAUUGAAUACGACCCUGUAUUCUGUACACACCGCCCGUCGCUCCUACCGAUUGAAGUUUUUGGUGAGUUGACAGGAGGAUUUUUUUGAAACUGGUUCGCCAGUGGAUUUUAGAUCCAAAUGCCAACGAAUCGAUGGCUUUAGAGGAAGGAGAAGUCGUAACA
rnacentral:rRNA from 1 species